GACGAGCGCUGGCGGCGUGCCUAAUACAUGCAAGUUGAGCGCUGAAGGUUGGUACUUGUACCAACUGGAUGAGCAGCGAACGGGUGAGUAACGCGUGGGGAAUCUGCCUUUGAGCGGGGGACAACAUUUGGAAACGAAUGCUAAUACCGCAUAAAAACUUUAAACACAAGUUUUAAGUUUGAAAGAUGCAAUUGCAUCACUCAAAGAUGAUCCCGCGUUGUAUUAGCUAGUUGGUGAGGUAAAGGCUCACCAAGGCGAUGAUACAUAGCCGACCUGAGAGGGUGAUCGGCCACAUUGGGACUGAGACACGGCCCAAACUCCUACGGGAGGCAGCAGUAGGGAAUCUUCGGCAAUGGACGAAAGUCUGACCGAGCAACGCCGCGUGAGUGAAGAAGGUUUUCGGAUCGUAAAACUCUGUUGGUAGAGAAGAACGUUGGUGAGAGUGGAAAGCUCAUCAAGUGACGGUAACUACUCAGAAAGGGACGGCUAACUACGUG
rnacentral:rRNA from 1 species